AGCUAGACCGACUAGGACGAGACAAGAGGGACAGGGAGGCUUCGCGGAACCCUACGCCCACCCGACGCGUUCGCCCGAGGAGAAAAAGAGACAGACACAGGGAGGAGAGCACUGCACGCAGCUGAAGGCAGAGAUUGGAAUGACACCUCUGCAAGCCAAGGAACACGGAGCAUUGCUGGGAACCACCGGAAGAAGCCAGAAGACAGGCCUGGAGCUGGCUUUCCCUCACAGCCCCAGAAGGAACCCACCCUGGUGCCACCUUGAUUUCGGACUUCUGGCCUUCAGAACUGGGAGAGAAUAAAUUUCUGUUGCUUUAAA
rnacentral:lncRNA from 1 species